GACGAACGCUGGCGGCGUGCUUAACACAUGCAAGUCGAACGGAAAGGCCCUGCUUUUGUGGGGUGCUCGAGUGGCGAACGGGUGAGUAACACGUGAGUAACCUGCCCUUGACUUUGGGAUAACUUCAGGAAACUGGGGCUAAUACCGGAUAGGAGCUCCUGCUGCAUGGUGGGGGUUGGAAAGUUUCGGCGGUUGGGGAUGGACUCGCGGCUUAUCAGCUUGUUGGUGGGGUAGUGGCUUACCAAGGCUUUGACGGGUAGCCGGCCUGAGAGGGUGACCGGCCACAUUGGGACUGAGAUACGGCCCAGAAUCCUACGGGAGGCAGCGGGGGGGAAUAUUGCACAAUGGGCGGAAGCCUGAUGCAGCAACGCCGCGUGCGGGAUGACGGCCUUCGGGUUGUAAACCGCUUUCGCCUGUGACGAAGCGUGAGUGACGGUAAUGGGUAAAGAAGCACCGGCUAACUACGUG
rnacentral:rRNA from 1 species